rnacentral:rRNA from 1 species
CAGAGGGUGCAAGCGUUAAUCGGAAUUACUGGGCGUAAAGCGCACGUAGGCGGUUGUUUAAGUUGGAUGUGAAAGCCCCGGGCUCAACCUGGGAAUUGCAUUCAAAACUGGACAACUAGAGUGUGUGAGAGGGGGGUAGAAUUCCAAGUGUAGCGGUGAAAUGCGUAGAGAUUUGGAGGAAUACCAGUGGCGAAGGCGGCCCCCUGGCACAACACUGACGCUCAGGUGCGAAAGCGUGGGGAGCAAACAGGAUU